GUAAUGUGGGAUUGGAGGCCCCACACUGUGGGGGCUGCCUAGUGGAGCUGUGGGAGGGGGGGCUGCUGACCUCCAGAUCAAAGAAUGAUAGAGCCACCAGCAGCUCCUGUCUUCAGUGUAGAAAAGCUGUGGGAGCAGAGCUGCCCAAAGCCUUGGGAGCCCACCCUAUGCAUCCUGGUAAUGCUCUAUGUUCCCAGGAUGUGGGACAUGGUUUCAAAGGAGAUUAUUUUGGAACAUCGAGAUUUAAUGACUGCCCUGCUGGGAUUUGAACUUGUGUGGGGCCUGUAGUCCCUUUCUUUUGGCCAAUUUAUCUCAUUUGUAAUGGGAAAGUUUACCCAAUGCCUGUAUCCCAGUUUUAUCUUAGAAGUCAAUAACUGGUUUUGAUUUUACAGGCUCAUUGGUGGAAGGGACUUGCCUUGUCUCAGAAGAAACUGCACUUUCGAGUGAUGCCAAAACAGUUUGAGACUUUUGGGGGACUAUUGAGAAGGGAUGAUUGUAUUUUGCAAUGUGAGAAGAACAUGAGAUUUGAAGGGCCAGGGAUGGAAUGAAAUAGUUUGGAUGUUAUACCCUUUAAGUCUCAUGUUGAAUUGUAAUUCCCACUGUUGGAGGUGGGGUCUGUUGGGAGGUGAUGGGGUCAUAAGGGCUGAUUUCUCAUGUUUAGCACCAUCCUCUUGGCACUGUCCUUGCAAGAGUGAGUGAGUUCUCAUGAUAUCUGGCUGUUUAAAAGUGUGUGGCACCUCUCCCUGCUUGCUCCUGCUCUGGCCAUGUGACAUACCUUCUUUUGCUUCACCUUCUGCCAUGUGUAAAAGCUCCCUGAGGACCCUUCUUGAAGCCAAGCAACUGCCAAUGCAAAGCUUCCUGUACAGCCUGCAGAAUUGGGAGCCAAGUCAACCUUUUUUUUCGGUAUAAAUUACGUAGUGCUUAGGUAUUCCUUUAUAGAACUGUCAUAGUACAAUUAUAGCAAGAAUGUCAUAAUACAAGGCAUAAUGGUUUGCAUUUUAAAAAUGAAAAUUAAAUUUAUGUAAUUUAUCAUGAAAGGAUGAAAUGAGUUAAUAAUGAGUAAUAUCUACAUGUUGUCUUAGAGGUGCUGACAAUCUGUCAAGGAAUUACAUGCACGGAUCAAGCAGUUUACCUUCAAGUUGAAUAACAAGAAUGAUGGAUUAGGGGAUUUCAGUGUGCCUCAGCCAGUUGGAAGUAGAAAAAUAAGCAUAAAGAUAAACUUUGUGAACUUCAAUUCAAGAAGAAAAAUAGGAAUUCACAGGAAUAGAAAAGAACAUUCCAGACACUGUGGAAGGGGAGGUGGGAAGGCAGCCUCUGUUAUAACAUUUGGUUCAUAAAAGGGAGUGAAACACCAGUACGAGAGAAGAGCAGCCAGUCUCCCUCUGCAACUCACCUUUCCACUGGGGAUCUGUGCAAUCCAGAUUAAGGGAGAGCACUCUGUUUCUCCCAAGCCUUGGAGCUAGCACAAAAGAGGCUGAGAUAUGGGGAAAGAGGAAAGACACUCAGAAAAGCUGCAGGCAUUUCCCCAGACCUGGGACUGAGAGAAGGAUGCCCUUUUUAAUCUGGGCUCAUACAAAGUCAAUCAUUGUUUUGUGCCUGGCAAUGAUGGCCACUGCAGACACUUUAAUCUUGGGCUAGGAAUUGGAGUGCUUGCUCUGGAGCAGGGGAGCAGCCUCCACCGCCAGAAUUGAGUGUUGAGUAUGGAAAGUGCCCCAGGAGUAGGUGUUGGAAUUAGGCUCUCUCCUCUUGCAGGACUGUAGUGGGAAGAGAGUUCCUAAAGCAGAGGUUUCUCAAGGAUGGUGAGACUUGCAGCCAAGAACAACUUUGCAACCUGGAACUGGUUUCUCCAGCAGCUCUGCCCCUGCUGAAGACUAGUACACACUGGGACAGGGCGCUUUUGGCACUUUGUCACUUCUGUACCUGUCGAGGACAAGUACACAGAGGAGAAGACCCUGCAGCCAGCUGUCACUCUUAAGCACUGUUUACUGGACUGAAGCCUUGAUUACACCACCAAACAAAAAUACAUCACCACACCACGCCACCACAGGAGCCUAUCUGCAACCAAGGAACUUGUACAGAGCCUUGGUCCUCUGAAAGUACCCAGAAAUGAAGCAAAUUGAUCCUAUACAACACACACCACAGUCAUACCCUUAAGAAAAAGAAAGAAUGAAAAAUUAAAAAAAAAACUCCUUCCAAAUGAUAGCAAGUUCAGCAAAAGUAGCAUCAAGUCUCUCAGAUGAGAAGAAACCAGCACAAGAACUCUGGCAAUACAAAAAGCCAGAAUGUUCCAUCACCUCCAAAGGAUUACACCAGCAAUCUAACAAAGAGUCCUAACCAGAAUGAAACAUCUGAAAUGACAGGUAUAGUAUUCAAGAUAUAAGUGGCAAAAAGAAAAAUCACCAAAAUCCAACAGAAAGUUGAAAUCCAACAACAAACCCAUAACAACGAUCCUGGAUUUGAAUGACAACAUAGCCAUAUUAAGAAAGAACCAAGCAGAGCUUCUUGCAUUGAGAAAUUUACUAUAGGAAUUUCAAAAAACAGCUGGCAGCCUUAGCAACAGACUAGACCAAAUAGAAGAAAUAAUUUAAGAGCUCAAAUACCAGACCUUUGAAUCAACCGAGUCAGACAAAAAUAAAAAAAGAAUUUAAAAAUAAUGAACCAAACUUUUGAGAAAUGUAAGAUUAUGUAAAGGAACAAAAUCUAUGACUUAUUGGCAUUUUUUUUUUGAGACAGAAUCUCACUCUGUUACCCAGUCUGUAGUGCAGCUGCAUGAUCUUGGCUCACUGAAACCUCCACCUCCUUGAUUCAAGUAAUUCUCAUGCCUCAGCCUCCCAAGUAUCUGAGAUUACAGGCGUGUGCCAGCAUGCCUCAGUAAUUUUUGUAUUUUUAGUAGAGAUGGGGUUUCACCAUGCUGGCCAGGUUGGUCUCAAAUUUCUGGCCUCGGGUGAUCCUCCCACCUUGGCCUCCCAAAGUGCUGGGAUUACUGGCAUGAGCCACUGUGCGUGGCUGACUUAUUGGCAUUUCUAACAGAGAAGAAGAGAAAGUAAUCAACUUGGAAAACGUUUUUGAGAACAUAAUUCAGGAAACUGUCCUCAAUCUUGCUAAAGAGGUCGACAUGCUGAUACAAGAAAUCCAGAGAACUCCCGUGAGACUGAAGGUAGACAGUGAAGCAAAUGCUUGCUUUCUUGUGUGGCUCUGAUUAGCAUCAGGAUAUCUACAUUUUACAUAGGAAAGGAGGGAGCAGAGGAAACAGUUAUGCAUUCAUCUCGCAUUCAGUAAAUCUCCAUUUUACGUAAGAUAAAGUAAGCAUGUAAAUAGAGGGAGUGGAGUAAAGGAAUACUCAAUGAUUCAUUCAUCUCAGGAUAGGCAGAGGGAUGAUUUCUCGUCCUGACCUUGUCCCAGAACUAUGAAAAUAAGCUGGUAAUUGAGAUUCUCAGGGUGAAAUUGAGCCGACUCACUUUUAGGGAUAGUUUACAGGUGGGAUGUGCAUUCUGAAAAAUUUAGGGGCUCACAGCAAACUGUGAGGGAGGACAUCUGAAGAGACAUGCGGCCUUCUGUCACUGUGGGAACCUCGCUUAUGGAUGAGGCUAUGACACAGGGUUGUGAAGUUAUAACUAUGUGUUUGAGAACAAGGAAAGCAGUAUUGCAUAACUCAGUUCCCAAGCUUAAUUUUCCCUUUGACACAGUUAGCUUGGGGUUGGGGUCUCUAUUCUCUUUUCUCUCACAAAAUCAUAUGGGAACAUUCCAGAAAAUGUGAGGUUCUGUGCUCACUAUUAAAUAAAAAUGACCAGGAGAGCCAUGGGUAAGCUCCCUCCUCAGUCAUCAGGACCCCAACAGAGAGUUUUCCCCUGUGUGGACAGGGUCCUGAAUUCUACAGGAUCCCGUGGGGACACAAGUGUCAGGAUAGAGACAUUCAUUCAGCCAGGCACAGUGUCUCACACCUGUAAUGUCAGCUACACUGGAGGCUGAGGUCGCCUUGAGGCCAGGAUUUCAAGACCAGCCUGGACAAGAUAGCAAGAUCCCAUAUCUAAGAAUAAAAUUAGCCGGGUGUGGUGGCAUGCACCUGUAAUCCUAGUUACUUGGGAGGGAGGCUGAGGUGGGAGGAUUGCUUGAGCCUAGGCGUUGGAGGCUACAACGAGCUAGGAUUACACCACUGCACUCCAGUCUCGGCAACAGUAAGAUUUCGUAUGUAACAACAACCAAACUAUUCUGUGUUUUGAGUGUAAAUUACCAUAGCCAUUGUAACAGAAAUUAGGCAGCAACUCUUAACAUUCAAAAUGCAUAAGCAAUUUGGCUAAGCAAUUGUACUUGUAGAUUAUUUAUUUAUUUAUUUAUUAUUGGGACAGAGUCUCACUCCGUCCCCCAGACUGGAGUGCAGUGACAUGAUCUCAGCUCACUGCAACCACUGCCUCGUGGGUUCAGGCAAUUGUCCUACCUCAGCCUCCCGAGUAGCUGGGGCUACAAGUGCGCAUCACCAUACCCAGCUAAUUUUUGUAUUUUUUGUAGAAAUGGGUUUUUGCCAUGUUGGCCAGGAUGGUCUCAAACUUCUGACCUCAGGUGAUCCACCCACCUCGACCUCCCAAAGAGCUGGGAUUACAGGCACUAGGUCCCUAAUUUAGAGCCAUAUUCUUUAAUGUCUAAAAGCACUCUUGCAUAUUUAUUACUGCAUUGUUUGAACUUAAAUAUCCACAACAGGAUAACAGGAUAAUUAAACAAUUUAUUGCACUAUGGCACAUCCAUCUGUUAACAAAAUGAAAUCGAUCUUUCUGUACUGCGGUGGAAUGAUUUUCUGAACAUAGUUCAGGUAAAAAAAAGACCACUGUUGAAUAAUGCUUCUGGUAUAACACAAUGUGUUUGAAAAUGUACACAAUACUCUGUAAUAUCCAAUGCAUACAUCUAUCAAAGUAAAUAUAUUUUAUUCUAGGGUAAUUAUUAAAACAUUAAGAAAUACUCUUUAAUCAUAUAUGUUAAAACUUGUAGAAAAUCAAUAACAUACAAGUAAAGAAGUUCAAGAAGCCAAAAAAAGUAAUUCCGAGUGUAGAAAGCAUGGUGAGAAGUGAUGGAACAAAACUGCAGAAAUUUAAAAUGCAAAAUUAAAAUACAUAAUUCUUAAUUAAAAUACAUAAUUCUUCAUUGAACCCCGAAUCUGUCAGGAUGUAUGUGUGAUCUUGGACAACACAUUCAACCUCCUCACACUGAAUUUUCUUGAGUGUAAACUGUUUUAGAGAUGUUCCUCACCCGGUUGCAUGAAGCAUAUCUGUGUGUGUUAAGGCACUUCCCACAGCAUCUGCGA
rnacentral:lncRNA from 1 species